GAAAACCCUUUCAAGGAGCUGGAAUCGUUUAGGGUCUAUUUCUGACCAUUAGUCUGGAAAAACAAACAAACAAACAAACAAACAAAAAAACCCAACAAUAGACUAACAAAUGACCUUCUUGGGCCAAAGCGGGUAACAUACAUUUUCUGUGCCUUCAUCGUCUGCCUAGUCUACUGGCAUCUAACUUCAUCUCGGAGUCUUAUUUCCAAUUUCUCAAAGCCUGACCUUUUAAGCGCACUUAAAUUGAGCAGAAUCACUAAAGCCGUAUAAACUUGGACACAAGUUGUUUUCAUACCUUGGCUAUUGUGAAUAAUGCUGCUAUGAACAUUGGGGUGCAUGUAUCUUUUUGGAUUUUCUUCAGAUAAAUACUCAAAAGUGGAAUUUCUGAGUCAUAUGGUAGUUCUAUUUUUAAAAUUUUGAGGAACCAUCAUACUGUUUUCCAUAGUGGCUGCACUAAUUUGCACUCCCACCAAGUGUAGGAGGGUUCCCUUUUCUACACAUUCUUGCCAACACUUGUUACUUCUUGUCUUUUUUGAAGAUAGCCGUUCUGACAGGUGAGGUGAUAGUUAAUUGUGGUUUUGAUUUUCAUUUCCCUGGUGAUGAGUGAUGUUGAGCGUCUAUUCAUGUGUCUGAUGGCCAUCUGUAUGUCUUCUUUGGAAAAAUGCCUAUUCAGAUCUUAUGCCCACUUUUUUAUUGGGUUGUUCGUUUGCUUGUUUGUUUUCAUAUUGAGUUGUAUGAGUCCUUUAUAUAUUUUGGAUAUUAACCCCUUAUUGGACAUAUUUGCAAAUAUCUUCUUCCAUUCGGUAGGUUCCCUUUUCGUUUUGUUGAUGGUUUCCUUUGCUGUGCAAAAGCUUUUUAGUUUGUGUCCCAUUUGUUUAUUUUUGCUUUUGUUGCUUUUGCUAGAGGAAUCAGAUCCAAAAAAUAUUGCUAAGACCAAUGUCAAAGAGCAUAGUGCCUAAGUUUUCUUCUCCGAAUUCUAUGGUUUCAGGGCUUACAUUUUAAGUCUUUAAUCCAUUUUCAGUUUAUUUUCGUAUCUGGUAUGGGAAAGUGUUCCAGUUUCAUUCUUUUACCUGUAGCUGUCCAGUUUUCCCAGCACCAUUUAUCAAAGAGGCUGUCUUUUCCCCAUUGUGUAUUCUUGCCUCCUUUGUCCUAUUAAUUGAUCCUGUACAUGUGGGCUUAUUUCUAGGCUCUCUAUUUUAUUCCAUUGAUCUAUGUGUCUGUUUUUGUGCUAGCACCAUACUGUUUUGAUUACUAUAACUGUGUAAUAUCAUUUCAAAUAUGGGAGUGUGGUACCUCCAGCCUUGUCCUUUUUUCUCAAGAUUGCUUUGGCUAUUUGGGGUCUUUUGUGAUUCCAUAUAAAUUUUAGGAUUAUAAAAUUCUGUGGAAAAUGCCAUGGGUACUUUGACAGGAGUGGCACUGAUUCUGUAGAUUGCUUUGGGUAGAAAAUAUAUUUUAACAAUAUUAAUUCUUCUCAUAUAUGAGUACUGUGUAUCUAUUUAUUAGUAUUGUCUUCAAUUACUUUUAUCAGUGUCUUACAGUUUUCAGAGUACAGAUCUUCCACUUUCUUGGUUAAAGAAAGCAUUCCUAGGUAUUUUAUUCUUUUUGGUGGAUUGUGAAUGGGAUUGUUUUCUCAAUUUCUCUUUCUGAUAUUUCAUUAUUGCUGUAUAGAAAUGGAACAGCUUUCUGUAUACUGAUUUUGUAUCCUGCAAAUUUCUGAAUUCAUCAAUUAGUUCUAAUAGUUUUGUGGUGGGGUCUUUUGGGUUUUCUAUAUAUGGUACCAUGUCAUCUGCAAAUAGUGACAGUUUUACUCCUUCCUUUACAAUCUGGAUGUCUUUCAUUUCUUCUUGUCUGAUUGCUGCGCUAGGCUUUUCAAUACUUUGUUAAAUAGAAGCGGCAAGAGUGGGCAUUCUCGUCUUGUUCCUGAUCUUAGAGGAAAAGCUUUGAUCUUUUUAUCAUUGAGUAUGAGGUUAGCUGUGGGUUUGUCAUAAAUGGCCCUUAUUAUGUUUAGAUAUGUUUCCUCUGUACCAAAUUUGUUGAGAGUUUUUAAUCACAAAUGGAUUUUUAAUUUUGUCAAAUGCUUUUUCACAUCUAUUGAGAUGAUCAUGUGUUUAUUCUUUGUUUUGUUAAUGUGGUGUAUCAUAUUGAAUGAUUUGUGGAUAUUGAACUAUCCUUGCAUCUCUGGAAUAAGUCCCACUUUAUCAUGAUGUAUGAUCCUUUUGAUGUAUGGUUGAAUUUGGUUUGAUAAUAUUUUGUUGAAGAUUUCUGCAUCUAUGUUCAUCAGGGACAUUGGUCUGUAGUUUUCUUUUUUUGUAGUAUCUUUUCCUGGUUUUGGUUUCAGUAUAAUGUUGGCCUCUAAGAAUAUGUUAGGAAGUGUUCCUUCCUCUUCACUUUUUUGGAAUAGUUUGAGAUGGAUAGGUUUUAACUCUUCUUUCAACAUUUGGUAGAAUUCCCCUGUGAAGCUAUCUUGUUUUUUAUUUGGAGUUUUUUGAUAACUGAUUUGAUUUCACUACUAGUAACUGGUCUGAUCAGAUUUUCUCUUGCUUCCUGAUUCAGCCUUGAAAUAUUGUAUGUUUUUAAGAAUUCCCAUUUCUUCUAGGUUGUUCAAUUUAUUGGCAUAUAACUGUUCAUAGUAUUCCCCUAUGAUUGUUUGUAUUUCUGUGAUAUCAGUUGUAACCUCUCUUUCAUUUCUAAUUUUAUUUACUGGGCCCUCUUUGUUUCUUGUUAAAUCUGGCUAAAGGUUUAUUAAUUUUGUUUAUCUUUUCAAAAAAGCAGGUCUUAGUUUCAUCAAUCUUUUCUAUUGGUUUUUACUUUUGGUCUCUAUUUCAUGUAUUUCUGCUCUGACUGCAAGUUAUUUUAAUACACUUAUUAUCUAUGAAAAACCAGAGGCUCAGAGAAGGAAUUUGUUUCUCCAGGAUAAUAGAGUUGAAGGGGAAGAGAUAGGAGUAUUUCACCUUUAAUGUCCUAUUAGAACAUUAAAACUCCAGUUUUAGUUGCACAUGAGUUAAUGCAGGUUAUUUUUUAGACAUAGACUUGGCUUGUACAGAAUUCUGGCUACAGUUUAGGAAGUUGAAGUAAAAGAGGCUGUUCUAGUAGUAGAUCCAGAAUUUUACUUCCAAUGUCAGGUUGGUCCUAAAGAUUAAUGAAUAUGUGAAUUGUUUUUCACUUAAUUUUUCUUUCUGUUCCAUAUAAUAGCAAUAAUAAUAAUUAUCAUUUUCAGUGAUUGAGGGUGUACUAUUUUCCAGGUGCUGCAUAAAUUUAUUAUCUCCUCUCCACCUUUAUGAGGGCAAUACUCUUCUUAUUACCAUUCAUAGAUAAAGAUCCAAAGGCAUCAUAUAACUUUUCCCAAGUUUGUUAAUAACAUUCCUAAUAAAUGAUUGAGAGAGCUAUGCACCUAAGUAUGUCUGAUUUUGGAAGCUGGGCACUAAAAAUAUUUUUGUGUGGCUGUAAAUUUUAUAUUUAAUAGUGGCUAAUGACAUCCAAAAUAACAUUUAUAUACAACCAAAACACAUUAACUGUGAUGUAAUUUUGAGAAAAUAAAAGUAGAAAUAUGAGUAAGAAACUCCUGUUUAUGAAUUUGAGUAUUAUAUUCUGUCUCAUCCAAUUGAGGAAACAGUUCUGAACCAUCAAAGGCCACUGUAACUUCUAUUAAUCCACCACAGCCCUUACCCCAUAGAGAGGACCUAUCUGUGAUUGGAGGUGUAUGGUUUUCAAGAUUUUAAUGUUUUGCCAGAAUAUUCACUGUAAAAGCAGUGACAUUAUAUGAUACAGCUUUUAGAUAAAUUAGAAAUACUGUAUGUCCUAAGUCCUUAGCAAAAGAAGAGGAAGAAUUACUCACCUCUUUGUUAAUGACAUGAUACUAUUACCAUACUUUAAGAAUAUGCCUUAGGAAAAAGCAAGUGAACUUAAUGAUUAUUUAGUGUUAUUGUUACCAAACUAAACUUGGGUCCACUUGCCCGUGUGCAGAAAAGCCAAACUACUGACACUGGGUUGUGGUGAAGGAAAGUACAGCGUUUAUUGCAGGGCAAAAGCAAGGAGAAUGGGCAGCUCAUGCUCAAAAGACCUGAACUCCCUAAUGGCUUUCAGGGAAGGGUUUUAAAGGCCAUGUGAGGGUGGGGCUGCAGAGUGCAUGAUUAGCUCAUGCACAAUUCUCAGGUUGGCUGGCAUCAAGGUGAGGUUUCAAGCAUCAUCAACCUUCUGGUUUCAAAUGGUCUAGGGUCUGUGUUCUUACAGUCAGCACUUUUCAUCUGGUGGGUCUGCUUCCUAUAAAAACAACCUAGGACUGUGUGUCGGACAUUUAUCUGUAUCUUUCAGGGAACUGGGAGUUCAGUGAUUCUGCUGUGUGGCUGGUUUAUAGUCUAAAUUGUUACCAGUUUCCAAGUCCAACAGCUAACCUUUGUUUCUACAUCUUCAUAUUCCUAAUCCUUAGCUCUUGACCUGGACUUUUACUUCAAAAAAUCAAGGACACAGGAGCUUGUACACAGUUUCAUUAUCAAGGCUAGUCCAAUAUCAAAAUCACUGAUUUUCACCAAAGCUCUUAACAUCCAGAUAGAUAUUAUGAAGCAACUGUCAUCCACAGAUCAGUUUGUGUGAGUUAUUUAUUCUUUUUUGUUUUUUUUAAAUAGGGGCAGAAAGUUGUAUUGAAGCCAUUUUUCUGUCUAGAAGAGUUAGUGUAAAUAAGGUUACAGUUAGAAAGACAUAGACCUGGAAUUUAAACAGUGCAGCAAUCCCCCAUAUAGCCAUCGUAAAACAGUUAUCAAUAAUUGAACAUUUGCUUUAUCUGUGUCUUUUUAAAGGUAGUUAAAGGCGUUGUCAUGUUAUUUCAAUACUUGCUCCCAUAUGCAUCUCUGGAAACCAGACACCUUCACACAUUACCACAAUGUCAUUUUCACACCUAACAAAAUGAAGAAUCCCUUAGUAUCACCUAAAUUCUGCCCAUAAUUAAAUUUUCCCAGUUAUUUUAAAAUAUAUAUAUAAACAUAUUUUAACAUAAACAUAUAUAUUUUUUUCACAUCAUGCUUCUCUCUCUCUCAUGCCCUCUCUCGCUCAUUCCUGCCUUUUCUGUGUGUGUUGAGUCUUUCAUUCUUCUGCUUUGCAGUUAGCAUGUGAUAAACCAGCUCGUUCCUACCGCUCGAAGCCAGAUGCUUCUCUGAAGCAAUGAUGACAGUUCCUGGGGCAGAAGCAGAUGGCCAGUCACUCAGGCCCACAAAUCUUCCAGUGAAACAGAAUCUCUGCCAGAAGUAUUUUCAGUUUUUACCAAGUCUGAACAAAUAGUAGCCUCUUUUGACCAGCUCUGAAUGUGCCCAUCAGCAGUGCUGCAAGUCUGGGAAGAUCUCAUGCUCUCCUCCAGGAGUUCAUGCCUUAAGUGUCCUGAACAACAGCUGUCUUCCCCGGUAACCAGAGCAGAUGUGUCACAUCAGUUUAGAAAGCAACCCAAAACCUGUCUUUUAGAAACUUAGUGAUCACUUGAACAGCCAUCUGGAGACAGUGUUGGGACAGACAAGAAGCAAGAAGACACUGAGGAAGUUGUCGGUAGGUAGCGUCUCAGGAAAUAAAAAGAGUCCAGAGAAUAAGAGAGACAUCGAUGACACAGACUUAAGGAUGCACGAUGGACCAUGGUAGGAUGAGGGUCGCAGAACCAAGUGUGCCGAUGGCCAAAAACAGGCACGACAGGGAAGUUAUUCUUGGCUUGUGUGUUUGGUUUGUUUUAUUUCAUUUCAGUGGCUGACAGGACGAUAGAAACUGUGGUUGGGCAGUUUCAAGGAAUAACUUUCUUAUCGAUAUCCUGCACUACACUCCGAUUGUCCUUCUGCUACCCCUCCUUGACAAAAUUCCAAUCCUGCGUGAAGCCCACGACCUGCUUUCUCCAAAACUGAGUGGACGGAUUAAUUACUUAACAGAACAGCUUUAAUGGCAUUUAUAGCAGACGGGCCCUUUAUGUGCUCGGCAAUCUUAUUACGUUUGCUCUGGUUUCCAUGGUUAUUUCAUUCAUUCUCCAUGGUCCUCGAACUUCCAUCACCCGGCUCCCUACUCACCCUCAACAGGUGACAAAACAGAAGGCAGCAUUCGCUCGACGUUCAUUCAACAAACCUACCCAUGAUGAGAACUUUGCUUUUCUCCUCCACUCAGCUAACAGCAAACGUUUCCUCUCCAUCUCGCCUCCCAUCCACCACCAGCUGCAUCACCUUGCUUCGACUCUCGGCAUCUUUCAUGUAUCCAGGAGCCGUGACGCUGCCUUCCCCUCUCCCUUUCCCUUACCUCCAGCUGCUCCCUUCCUAUCAACCCCAGCACUAAACAUAACACUCUCCAACAUUUGAAAAUAAGAACCUUCUCCCCAAAGCUAAGUAAUUGACAAUAAACUUUGGUGUUAAAUGAAAACAAAGUCGUGGGAAACAGCAUCCCGCCUCUGACACUCUCCAUCUGCAAUCGCGCUUGCUCCUUUUGCUAGACCUUGCUUUUCUCUCCUCACGUGAUCAGCCUUAUUAUGCACUGGAGGGACAGCAUUAGGACACCUGUGUAUUGAAACGUCCUUGACCCAAGGUCAGUGCUGUAUUAGUUUGCUGCAGCUGCCACAACAAAGUUACAAAGACCGGGUGACGUAAACAAGAGAAAUGCAGCUUCUCACAGUUCUGGGGCUGGAAGGCUGAGACCACCACCCCACCAGGGUUUGCUCUGAGGUGUCUCUGCGUGGCUUGCUGAUGGCGGCCCUCUUGCUUCCUGGCUGCAUGGCCAUCCCUGUGUUGUACACAUCCUUGGUGUCUCCUCUGCUUCUUCUAAGAACACCAGUCCUGUUGGAUGAGGGCUGUUCCCUCGCAACCUCGUUUUACCUUAAUCAUCUCUUGAAGACCUUAUCUCCAAAUAUGGCUACAUUUGGAGGUACCAGGGGUUGGAGCUAUAACACAUGCAUUUGCGGGAUGGGGGCGGGGCAGUAAACAAUAAAGUUCAUAACUUUAUUGACUGCUACGUAUUAGGUUAUUGAUUUCUUCUCUCAUUCUGAAGGUGGAGGGAACCAUUUCAGACCUAUCAUAACACCUGGACUUUGGUCAUAGCACCUGGAAUGCAGAAGAGAGAUUCAUGAGUGACAGGAUUCUGACAAUGCCGUUGAUACAGAGAACUGAUUAAAUGUGGAGGAUAGUGAAAAGCGCUCAAAGGCAACUCGCAGCUUUUGAACUUGGAUGAGUAGGUGGCCAUUGGUAUAUCUACAAGGAAGAUGGAACAGAAGAAGUGCAAUGGUGGGAAGAAGGAUGACGUGUUUUAUUUCAGGGGCACUGAGAUUGAGACAGCAAGCCAGUGCUUGGGAGAAAGUCAGGGAAGCAGAGGUUAUUGAAGCCUAGAAUCUGGUUAUUGAAAGUUCGUGAAGGUGGAAAUGAUAGAUGCUUAGAACAAUGACAUCAGACAAUACUUAUUUUUAGUAAGAAAAUUACUCUAAUUAAAGCUGAAGAAAUACCAUAUAGCUCAUUUUAAUUCUAUUUUUCUUUCAAUAAAAACAUGUUUUGGGUAUCCACUAUGGGUCAAACAUUGUGGAAGCAACUGAAAUGUAAAAACUAGUAAGAAAUGGUACUUACACUAAAGUGAUCCAAAGUGAGGCAAACAGAUAUAUUUAUAAAACUAUGUUACGUGUUGCCACUUAACACAAUGGCUGGAUCAUCAUAGGGAAAUGGAAAAAGAUGAAGCCAGGGAGGAGAGUAUAACCAGAUAAUGAAGAACAUUGAACAACAUGCUUAAGAGUUUAUUUUCAUUUCAUUCUGAAGACUAUGAGAGCCAUUGAAGAGCUUUCAUUGGGAGAUAAAAACGACCAGAUUAACAUUUAAGAAGUAUGAUCAGCAAAAGAACAUGCUGAUUUUGAAUUGCUGUCAAAUAUUGAAGGGUGUCAUUAAAAUAGAUUAAGCAAACAGUGUAAUGAAUUUGCACUGAGAGUAAAUCUCUUUCAAAGUAACAUAUUGCGAUUCCAAAAUAACACAGCACCGUUAUUUCAAUUUUGUGCUAUAUUCAUUACUGUUAGGUAAUUUUAUUAGAAUAGAGGUAAAACUGAUUCAAGAAGUUAUUUAUGGUAUUUUUUUUAAUGUAAAUCUCUCCACUAACAAAUUCUGUGCAAAACUUGACUGUCAACCAAUCUCUCUCCGCGAUUGAUAGCCGGCUCUAUCCCAAUGGUGUGUGUUAAGUAAUUUUGUACCUAAAACUUUUUAAAAAUAAAAAUAGUACUGGCCUAAAGGAAAAUAAUCUGAAAAAAUAUACAUAUAUGUAUAUAAUUGAAUCACUUCGUACCUGAAACUAACAUAAUACUGUAAAUCAACUCUACUUCUGUUUUAAAAAAUAGAGCUGGCAAAAAUAGUUGCUCUAACACAAGUCAGUGUUACUCGAGGAAAUUGCACCUGUGCUGCCAUAACUGUAGCUGGGUUCGCUGAACCUCUGGGAGCCUGACGCCCGAGCAGGCGUGGAAUGCGAGUACGUGCACACGAUGGACAGGCUUGCAUUGGGAAUUCUUAAGGAGGAGGAAGAGAGACGUUUAUAUCUCAGGCUGAAUUUGGAGCACCGCUGGGGAAUCUUUUCCACUAGAUUUAUGAAUGAAAGUUUUUAUCUUCCUAAGUAUUGGAGAACUAUAUGACACAAUAGGGUCAAAAUUCCUAGCUAUUUAAUAUAAAUUUCUGUCCAUGGAUUUUGGAAAACUUCCAGAUGAAUAACACAUUUGGACUGCACAAGGAUAAAAUAUUUAUUAUCUUUUUUCUAGUCUGGAAUAUAAUGACAUGUAUGUAGGAAGACAAACAUAUAACAACAGAUCAAUAUGAUACUUGAGAUGUGAGUCUAUGCCCCUUGGAAAAGUAUGGGGUAGUUUUGUUUGUGUUUGAGUGUGUUUUACAAAGAAAUAUAGGAAUUCCAGAAAUGAUUCUUCAUUUAUUGCCAUUCCAUUUUGGUUAGUAUAAUUCCAAAGGAAAAUAUGUGCCACUGAUUGAGUUGUUUCCAUCUGAAAACCAAGACAAAAGAUGUGUCCUCCAGACGUCACACCAGGUACAGUGUUACUGAUGGAAUAGCUGAAAGCAAGGCUCGUGGAAGAACAUAUUUCAGAUUUUACAGUCGGGGGCAUUUAGUGUAGUUCCACUGAUUUCCUUGUGAACAUGUAACUGCUGCUUUUAGCAAAUUCGUGGCUCCACAUGGGAAUUGAUCAGGAAGAUGAGGGAAGCCAGGAAGGAGAAAGUAUGCCAAGAUUUAAGGAGGUCAAAAGAAACUGGAAUGUUGACACAUGAGCAAAGCUCAGGAAAUUUAAUACUAUUUCCAUUGCUUUCGAGCAACGUAUUUUAUGAUCUCCACAUUGACAAGUAGGCCAAAAUGUAUUUCAAAAAAUAGGCCUCUUCAUUUUCACAAUUUAUCAGGAUAAUAUUAUUUUGUGAAUAAAUAGGGCAGUCUUGAUUUGAGAAUUUUCACUUGGCCAGAUGCGAAAUAAGAAUUGAAGAGUUUUCCUAAUACAAAGAUAUAGAUAUAGUUCUUUACUUCAGUUAAUUGAAAUGUGAGAAUCUCUUUUACUUAUCAAGAUGAAAUAUUAAACAUUCUUCAGUCUUUGUCAGGCACACACUGCUGUGUUUUAGCAGAUCUCAAUAUAACAGGGUUGCUUUGUCUAAUUUUUGUUAUGCAAGAAGAUGGAGAAAAGUUAAUAAGCAGCAAAAGAGUCUGUAAAGAUGGCUUC